AUUGAACGCUGGCGGCAUGCCUUACACAUGCAAGUCGAACGGCAGCACGGGUGCUUGCACCUGGUGGCGAGUGGCGAACGGGUGAGUAAUACAUCGGAACAUGUCCUGUAGCGGGGGAUAGCCCGGCGAAAGCCGGAUUAAUACCGCAUACGAUCCACGGAUGAAAGCGGGGGACCUUCGGGCCUCGCGCUAUAGGGUUGGCCGAUGGCUGAUUAGCUAGUUGGUGGGGUAAAGGCCUACCAAGGCGACGAUCAGUAGCUGGUCUGAGAGGACGACCAGCCACACUGGGACUGAGACACGGCCCAGACUCCUACGGGAGGCAGCAGUGGGGAAUUUUGGACAAUGGGCGAAAGCCUGAUCCAGCAAUGCCGCGUGUGUGAAGAAGGCCUUCGGGUUGUAAAGCACUUUUGUCCGGAAAGAAAUCCUUGACUCUAAUACAGUCGGGGGAUGACGGUACCGGAAGAAUAAGCACCGGCUAACUACGUG
rnacentral:rRNA from 1 species